rnacentral:rRNA from 1 species
UACAGAGGGGGCAAGCGUUGUUCGGAAUUACUGGGCGUAAAGGGCGCGUAGGCGGCCUGCUAAGUCGAACGUGAAAUCCCCGAGCUCAACUCGGGAACUGCGUCCGAUACUGGCAGGCUUGAAUCCGGGAGAGGGAUGCGGAAUUCCAGGUGUAGCGGUGAAAUGCGUAGAUAUCUGGAGGAAUACCGGUGGCGAAGGCGGCAUCCUGGACCGGCAUUGACGCUGAGGAGCGAAAGCUAGGGGAGCAACGGG